rnacentral:tRNA from 1 species
GCCCCGCGGUGACACCACACCAACGUGCAAACUUGGAGACGCACCCGUAAGAGGUGCCGGGGCUUCUCCCGUUUUUAACUAGACGGGAGAAGG